rnacentral:misc_RNA from 1 species
ACUCCGUUGGUGAACCAGCGGAGGGAUCAUUACUGGAAUCGCAAGAUCCCACAACCCCUGUGAACCUACCGAAACGUUGCCUCGGCGGGCGCCCGGCCCCGCGCCCGGCGCCCAGCCCGCCGGCGGCCCCCUACUCUUGUCUCUGCAGCGUGGCAACUCAGAGUCCCAGAAAACAAGUAAAAACUUUCAACAACGGAUCUCUUGGCUCUG